rnacentral:lncRNA from 1 species
UUUUUUUUCUAACAUCCUAUCGCUCAAAAGAGUAGAACGGCUUAUGUCUUAGUUUGAAAGACUGUACACCGAAAGAUCCAAUAAUUUAUGGAAAGAGCAGAACGGCUUACGUUUAAGUUUGGAAGGCUGUACACCGAAAUAUCCAAUAAUCUUAUCUUUGUGGCACUCAUGGAUUCAGGUACGCUUCCGCAUCUAGUUUUAUUUUUUUAUAAUUUGUCAUGAUAGGUCUUGGGUAAAAGAUGAAAAUCUUCAUCUUUAAAGUAAUUUAGUUCUAACAAUUGAUAUCAGAGCCUAUAUCAUGUUAAGUUGUUGAGAUUAAUUUUCAAGAAUAUUUUUUUAUAAAUAAAUAAAUAAAAGUGGCCAGUGAAGUCGCCGUUGUUGCGACAAUAGUUUUCUGUCAAAAGGAUUGUUGUGCGCCACUUUAAGGUUUACUUUGAUGAAUAUUGAAUUAAGGCUAAGGGUUGAAAGUUUUGAAUGCUACUACUGACUCUAGUAUUAAAGAGAAAGGAAAAUUUACGGAUUGUUGCUCUUUUGCACUUUUGGAUCUUGCUAAACGCCGUCAGUAUUGCGGCAACUUCAGAUUUUGUUUGAGACGAAUCCUUCUUCUUCCUUAUUACUUAAUUAAUUAAUAUUUUUUUUAAAAAGGUGGUGGCGUGAAUAUGCUAUACGAAAUGGAGUUUUAACCUCCUUUAUUCAUGUAUUUGAUAUUUUAAAUUUCUUUCGUAAGAGAAAAAAAAUGUGUAAUACUAUAUUGUUCUGCGGCACAGAACGAUUCUUGUAUUUAGGUAUUUUUUGUUUUGAUGUCCUUUCCUUUUCUCUGGACAAUUUAAAAAUGGAAAGAAAAGGAAAUAGAAGUUUGAGUUGUGUCAUAGAACUCUUGAAGCGCCAUUAUUUUUACGGCAUAAGGAAAUUGGGUAGUUCAAUCUCUCUUUUACAUGUGUUGCCAGAAAAGGUAUUUUGAGUUUAUGAAAUUAUUAUAAUUUUAUGCUUUGAUGAAUUUUAUGCUGGCAGACUCAUGUUUUAAGGUCAAAAGCUAAGCUUACAGUUUAUGAAAUUUAAUUUAGAGCUACCAUUCAGUUAUUUUUGGUUUGGGAUUUUAGAGCCGCUUUUGCGGCUUACUAAUUUCUAGAAAAGUAUAGCUCGUUGAGUAAUUUUUUAAUUCAGUUUGGCGUAUUAAUUUUUAUAUUCAUCAGUUUUAAGUACCGGCAGUUAUUGUUUGUGGUUAAUUUAUUUUGGGGCCUAUCAUAACUUAAGACUUAUAUAUCACUGUUUUUGGAGAAUUUAAAUUUGAAUAUUGAAAAGGUUGUAUAUAUUUUGAGAUAAAUAAAGUGAAACUUGAUGUUGCCAAAGUGACCUCUAUUGUGGAGAUGUAUUUAUUUUGAAAUAUAAAAGGUUAUGUAUGUGUAACCUAUGUGAAUAUUGAUCGGCCCAAAGGAAAUUCAAUGUUUAAUAGAAUUGCAUGUGCAUUCUUAUGGUAAUAAACACAUUAUGAUUAUUUGAUUUUACGUGUGAAUAAUAAAUCGGCCCAAAGGAAGAUUUACUAUUCGACAUGUUCUUUACUGUCAAUGUUUGAUUACUACACCAAUAUAUCACUUACAAGUUAAUAUCUUGUCCAAAGAUGAAGUAUUAAUGGAGUGACCGGUACAUUGAGAUGGGGUUUACCUUUAUUCAAAUUUAUUUUCAUUUUGGUUUUAAGUAGUAUGUGAGCUUAUUUCAUUGUUUGUUGUUCUCUGAUUCAGCUGAAAUUACUCCUGCAAAUAUAACUGCCAACAUCAAUUUUAUUCCUAUGUUGAAUGGCACUAACUUCAAGUCAUGGCAAGAGAAUCUCAACAUAGUUCUCGCAGUCAUGGAUCACGACCUUGCGUUAAGGGUUGAUUCUCCGGCACCUCUUACAGAUAAGAGUACCUCUAAUGAAAAGAGGGAGAUGAAAAGGUGGGAGAGAUCAAAUCGCAUAUGUAUGAUGAUCAUUAAGAAAGCUAUUCCAGGAACAUUCAAUGGCACUAUGUCCGACAAGGUUAAGACGGCUAAAGAAUUUAUGGCUGAAAUUGAAAAAGUAUUUGUCAAGAGUGAAAAGUCUAAGAUUUGUACACUCUUGACAAGUCUGAUUUCAAUGUGGUAUCAAGGCAAAGGUAAUAUCAGGGAGUACAUCAUGCAAAUGUCUUAUUUUGCUUCUAAGUUGAAAGCACUUAAGUUGGACAUCUCUGAGGACUUGCUAGUGCAUUUGGUUUUGAUAUCUCUUCCACCACAGUUUAGCCAGUUUAAGGUGAGCUAUAAUUAUCAGAAAGAGACUUGGUCUCUAAAUGAGCUCAUUUCACAUUAUGUUCCGGAAGAGGAUAGACUGAAGCGGGAAAAGAUAGAAAGUGCUAACUUAGCGGAUGUGCCUAAGGACAAAAGGAAGGACAAUAAGAGAAAGAAUAAGGAAGUUGCGAAUACAGCAACACAAAAGAAACAAUAUCAGGAACCAACUACAUGUAGUUGUUUCUUUUGUAAAGCUGCAGGUCAUAAGAAGAAGGAUUGUACCAACUAUCACGCAUGGCGUGAAAAGAAAAGUACACCUCUUAAUUUUGUUUGGUCUAAGGUUAAUUUGACUUUGGUACCAAGACACAGAUGGUAGAUAAAUUCUGGUAUAAUAACUCACAUCACUAUAUCUAUGCAGGGUUGCCUGAACUAUUGAAAACCUAAUGAUGGUGAUGAAAAGUCGGUGGAAGCCGAAGCAAUUAAAGAUUCUAGAUUAUUGUUAAGAACCGAUUUUAUUUGAAUUUGAACGAGACUUAUGAUGCACCUGUUUUUAGAUGGAAUUAUUUCUAUUUUUGUAUCAGACAAGUUUGGUUAUUUUUGUUUAUUUGGAAAUGAAAAAAAUUAGUCUCUUUCAUAAUUCAAAAUUGGUUGAUCCCGGUUGUUUAUCAGGUUAUAAUAAUCUAUACUUAAUUGAUAUGAUUGCUUCGUUCAAUGAACCUUGCAUGUUAACAUAACUGGUAAUAAGGGUACAUUAACCAUAUAGUAGUCAGUUUCUUUCUGGCACGAGAGAUCAUGUCAUAUCUUUAAAGGAGAAUUAAGAGACGUCUGUCCAAUAAUAUUUUCUAUCCCCUCAAUUUUUUAGAAUUUUUAUCCCAUUACUAAGGCUACUUUUUCCAAUAAUGUGAGGUUCUUUGAGGAUGUUGAGUUUGCAGGGGGAGAGAGAGUUAAGGACUUUGUCUUUGAAGAGGAACAUAUUGAUAUUCCUUUAAUUAUUAUUGUCAAUGCUCAGGAACAACUUUCUAUACUUGACAUUAUUCAAUAAGCAAAUUCGUAUCAACGACACUAUCAUUCAACACGUCCUUCAAGAAGUAGUUCCCAAAGAACAAACUCUACAACCUCAAGAAUAAAUUUCAAUAAAUAAAACCAUCUAUCAACUUAAGAAAGUGUCUCAUUAAUAGUAUUACUAAUUUCAUCAAGUAAUUGUCUCAUUUGAUUUCGAGAUAAAUGUUAUUAAUUAUUGUGUAUACCACAAGUUUAGUGGGAGUAAGUAUAUUUUUUUUAUUGUGUGAUGUAUGAUCAGCUUUAUAUGCAUUUGAAUAUCUCAUUUAAUUUAGGGAUGUUGGGCAGAUAUUUAAACAAUUUAUAAACUUAUCUUUUGAAAGCAGCUUAAAGGUUCAAAAGAAAUUUCAGAGAAUAAAUAUUUUAUGCUCACAUAAAAGAAGUCGAAAAAGUUAAAGAUAAUCAGGUAGUUAGAUAUCACCUUCACUAGAUGUUGAUAUAAUAUGACAUACUUGGUUGAUGAGAUACAUAAGAAAGAGUGUUAAACGAACACUCAUAGCUCUUUUCACCAUGACAGUUAAUUUAUAACAUAUUAUGUAGCAUCUGAUUGUGGAAUAUGUCUGCAGAAUUUUGUCACUGGCUGCGAAUCUAUAGAUAAAGAUGAAAGGAUACUUAACUUAUUUUAUGACAAUAAGCUAGCAGUCUUGUAUUCCAAUAACAACAGGAGUUCGGUAAAGUCAAAGCACAUUGACAUAAAGUUUCUGGUUUUUAAAGAAAGAGUUCAAAGUGGUUAGGUAUCUAUAGAGAAUAUUGGUACAAACUCUAUGGUUGUAGAUCCACUUACUAAGGGACUACCACACAAGGUUUUCAUGAGCAUAUUGUUCAUAUGGGUUUCAUAUCAUUUAAGGAUAUCCAGUUUUAGUAGGAGUUUGUAACCUCUUAAAUGUUCUUUACGGACACAAUUCGGUUUCAGUUUAAGGUUACAGGUAAUGAUUUUAGUUUAAGGAUAUUUGAGGUUAUUUCUGCAGAAAUAAAGUAUUCAUGUUAUUUUGACUCUGACUUGUUUUUCAGUUGGAUCAGUUGAAAAUAGACAUGCUUGGAUCAAAUUGCAUGUAUAUUUCAAGCUACACAUCCAUACUUGAUUUAUAUCAUUUGGUUAUGUUGGUAUUCGUGAUCAAGGAAGGUUUACUUACGAUAAAUGUAACGAAAGCUACCUUGUGUAGCGACCCGACCGGUCGUUUUGAGAUCUAGUAAGUCGUUCAACGGUUUGAGACCUUGAGUAGCUUCACUUAAGGUAUUAUGACUUGUACGUGUGGUCGGAAUCGAAUUUCAAGAAGUUUGGAGUUGAUUUGGAAAGAAAAUUUUAAUGUCAGAAGCUUUAAGUUGGGAGAAUUUACUAAGGUUUGACUUUUUAGUAAACGACCUCGGAAUCGGGAUUUGAAGGUUCCAGUAGGUUCUUAUGAUGAAUUUGGUCUUAGGAGCGUGUCCGGAUAUUGAUUUGGAGGUUCGUAGGUCAUAUCGGCGUCAAAUAGCGAAAGUUGGAAAGUUGACCGAGAGUGGACUUUUUGAUAUCACGGUCGGAUUUCGAUUUCUGAAGUUGGAGUAGGUCCGAAAUGCCAAUUGUGACUUGUGUACAAAAUUUGAGGUCAAUCGGACUUGAUUUGAUAGGUUUCGGCGUCGGAUGUAGAAGUUUGAAGUUUUAAGGUUCAUUAGGCUUGAAUUGAUGCGCAAUUCAUGUUUUUAGCAUUGUUUGAUAUGAUUUGAAGGCUCGACUAAGUUUUUAUUGUAUUUUAGGACUUGUUGAUAGGUUUAAUUGAGGUCUCGGGGUCCUCGAGGUGGUUUUCGGAUAGUUAACAGAUCAAGUUGAAGCUUAAAGAAUGACUAAAGUGCACAAGCUGUGGUGUAACCAUACCUGCGUAAGUUUGACCGCAGGUGCGGGCCCGCAGAAACGUGAGGAGAAGCGCAGAAGCGGAACUUAAAGGGGUGGUCAGUGGUCGCAGAUGCGAUGUGAAGGUCACAGAAGCGGAGCCGCUUCUGCGGAAGGAUGAUCGCAGAAGCACUUCCGCAGAUGCGGAUGGAUGUGUGCAGGUGCGAGAUUGGGAGAGGAAGUCUGGGGGCGCAGGUGCGGAGGUAUAUCCACAAAUGCAGAUGCGCAUAUGCGCAUGAGAUACCGCAUAUGCAGAAGUGGGCUGAAGGUCCUGGAUCGUAGAAGCGGGACCGCAGAAGCGAAAGCACUGGGCAGAUUAUAUUAAAUCGAGGGUUUGCCAUUUUCUUCAUAUUUUGAGAUAUAGAGCUCAAAUUGAGGCGAAACUUCGAAGGUUUUUCAGAGGAAAUAUUUGAGUAAGGAUUCUUGAAUUGUUUUUGAUUACUGUCCACUAAGAUAUCAUUUAAUUAAGGAUUUGGGUUGAGAAAUUUUUGAAAAAGGUGGAAACAUCUUUAAGCCGAAUUUUGAGGUUUUGAUUGAGAAUUUUGCAUCGGAUUUGAGUAAUUUUGGUAUGGGUGAACUCAAUAUCGAAUGGGUGUUCGUAUUUUGUGACUUUUACCCGAUUCCUAGACGUGGGUCCGGGUCAACCUUUUGGGGCGAUUUUUUAAUUCUUUGCUAAAGUCGUAGUUUCAUUAUUUAAAUUAGUUUCUUAUAGUUGUAUUUAUAGUAUAUAAUUGCUUUUGGCUAGAUUUGGACCGUUCAGAAUCGGAAAGUCGAGGGAGAGGUAUUCUUAUUGACUGAUUGAGCUUGGUAUGAGGUAAGUGACUUGUCUAACCUUGUGUGGGGGAAACUCCCCUUAGGUUUUGGUACUGUUAUGGUAUUUGCAAUACGUGAAGGUCGUGUACGCGAUGUGAUGAGUGUGUACUCGGGUUAGAUGUUGAAAAUUCUAAUUCUUGCUAAGUAGUUUUAUUUUAAAUUCCUUAAUUGAGUUGCUCUAGCAUAUGUAGUCAUCAUGUUUAGCCAAUGUCACAUGUCUACAUGUCUUCACUCUCACUUGUAAUUUGUGCAACAUGCUUAGUUGAAUUACCUGCUUCCUUGGUCGUGUAUUUAGUCUUUAACUGUAGGAUUCCUUGCUGUAAAUUCAUUGUUCCAUAGGUUAUGAGUUGUGUAUUUACUUUGGGACUACAAGGCGGUACCUCGGGAGCUCCCUGUUGCAUAUUUACUUUUGGGACUAUGAGGCGGUACCUCAGGAGUGCCCCUGUUGCAUAUUUACUUUUGGGACUAUGAGGCGGUACCUCGGGAGCGCCCCUGUUGCAUAUUUACUUUUGGGACUACGAGGCGCUACCUCGGGAGCUUCCCUGUUGUGUAUUUAUGUUUGAGACUACGAGGCGGUACCUCGGUAGCGCCCCUUUUGUCUACCUCUAUUUGAUGUGUUGUUACCUUUCUGUAAUUUCUCAUUAUUCAGUUUUCAGUCAUUUCAUUGUAUUAUUAUAUCUUCUGCCUUAUUUCCUUUUUACUCUAGUAGUCCCCUGACCUGACUUCAUCACUGCUCACCAGGGUUAGGCUUGGAACUUAUUGGGUACCGUUGUGGUAUACUCAUACUACACUUCUGCACAUAUUUUAUGCAGAUCCAGGUUCUUUCUACCAGGCCAAAUACUAGUGAGAUAGCCGUGCGUGGAGACUUUAAGGUACUUCUGCCGGCGUCCGCAGACCUCAGAGCCCCCCUUUAUCUUUAUUAUGUUGUUUUCCUUCCUUAUUUCCCUUAGACUCUGAUAUAUAGAGACACUUAGCAUUUCCAUUUAGAACUUGCGACUUAUUUCUAUCGGGUUUUGGGUGUUGUAAUUAUUUGAAUCACAGUUAUUAUAUAUUCCAUAUGUUGAGGUUUGAGUUCAGUUUUAUAUUCUGUUAUUCCGCAAGAUAGUUAGGAUUACCUAGUCUUAGAGACUAGGUACUGUCACGAUAUCCUACAGAGAGAAAUUGGGUCGUGACAAGUUGGUAUCAGAGCUAUAGGUUCAUAGGUGUUAUGAGUCACAAGCAGGUUUAGUAAAGUCUCGUGGAUCCGUACGGAGACGUCUGUACUUAAUUCCAGGAGGCUGUGAAACUGUUAGGAAAAGCUUCACUUCCUUGAUUUCCUCAUCGUGCGAUUUGAUUCCUUUGGGGCUUAUGCCUUUCUUUCCUUCCUACUCAAUCUCAUGCGACGCGAAGCGCUUGUUAUCAAUUGGGCAUCGAAGAGUUGUAGUGGUACUGCAGGUAUGAUGCAAGAUGUUUUCCUUAUGUGUUCGAGUGUGCUAUUAUUGUCGCCUUGCGGAAGUAUGUUCUAUCAUUUCAGUUCAGUAUCUGUACUUCCUAUGGUUUUGAGGCUAUGCACGGAUUGCUAUGAUGUUCAUGCGUUGUUAUCGCAUAGUGUUGGUGUAAUGGUAAUGUGUUUGUCUAUGUGUUGAGGCAGUGAAUUACUUGAAAGGAGGAUUUCUCAGUGCAUGAUUUAGAGGUUCAACAUUUAAUUCCAACAAAGGAAAGGUAAUCGGACAAUGGAUGUUCAGGCCUUGAUCGUUGAAGCGACGAGACUUGAUAUUUUUGAGUAUGGUAGGAUUCUCAUUUGUGAUGCGGUGUUGUCUCCUUUGUUGGAACAUAUUAAGGUUCGCCGUUGUUAUGGUCUUCUUCGAUUUGCCUUUGGGACAGGAUGUUGGGAAGUGGUGCCUAGGAAGCGGUUGUCAGAGAUAGCGGUGUGUAGCGGUUCAGAAUAGAAUUGGUAUUUCUAAUGUUGAUGGCUCGAGAAAGAUGAUCUUCUAAGAGGUUUAGAGUUGGUAGCAAUUCAUUAGUUCCAGCGCUACAGGUAUGGAUCUGAUUUGAGGUAACAUUUGGGCAACAAAGUAUGGGGGGGGGGGGGGGGACAUGGCGGGAAGUGUCUCGCGGUGGUCGAAUUACUAGCAGGUCAAGUAUGAACAACAGAGGUCGAGGAGUUGCUUAGAGGAGGUGGUUUAACCGAAGUAAGAGUGGCAGAUUAGCAUAUGGAUUCUAUGGUAUGAUAGCCGCAUGCCUUGAGAAAGUGUAGAACGGUUUGGGAAUUGUGAUGGAAGGUGAUUUAGUCUAUGGAUUUUAUUUGGAAUUAUGGUUAUUGUACGAAGAAAGAUUGAAUACGGCAGAAAGGAGUUUGCUUGAAAUGAAUAUGGGUGUGAAGAUCUGAUUAUCGUUUCAGAUGCAAUAUGACUUGAGUUUGGAAGGAAUUGUUGAACUUUCAGUUGAUGUCAAUGAGGAAGAAACAAAUUUAUACAGCUGGUGGGCGAGCAUGGGCUCAGGAAAAUUUACUGAUUUUGUGGUAGUUGUACCCAGUGCAGCAUCGUUGGGAGAUGUCGGUAUGGAAUUCCACACGUGGGCUAUCUCAUGUGGACAGGUCAGCGGUUAUAUGAUUUUGAUGAAGUUUCUACAAAGAGUUCUACUUACUACGAAGCGGAAGGCCGAGUAUACGAUUAUGGCUGAUAAUUCAGAAUGUUCAUGAAACGUUUAAUAAGGAAUUACAGGAAAUUUGGUGGGUUGACGGUGCCAGAUCAUGGUAAUUGAGAAGGAGGGAUCGUUGUGGGCUCUACAUUAUGUGAUGGUAGAUUAAAUCUAAGUAGGGGAGACCCACCAUCUACGAUUGGAUCACAUGGUUGUCUGCUUGUGCGGUUUCUGGUUAUCGGUGUAAUGGUGGGUUAUUAUGACUAAGGAAAGAAAACAUCUGGGGUAAUUCGAGUAAAGAAAUUGAUAAAUGUGCACUAUAUUCUGCCUUAUCGAUUCAUGUGCAGGUAUGGGGAAGACUCAGAGUGUAUGCUUCUUGUGGAUAUGAUGUACAAGGAAAAGAAUUCAGCAGGUUGCUUCACUGAGAGGGUGUUCAUGUGCUAGCAACACAUUGGAGUUUGAUUAUAUUUGGGACCAGGUCAGAGUGGGUGACUCUCAACAACGGUCCUAGUGGGUUCAAGAAUUAAAGUGCAAUGCCUAAGAAUUUCGGGUCCGUUGUGUGGUUAAGGAUUGAGUUUUCACAGUGGAUUGCGAACGGAACUUGGAAUGUUCUAUGUCAUCGUCGGGUAUGUGGUGCAAUAUUGAAGUAAAGGAAGAAAUAGCUUUGGAUUCGUGGAAGGUCUUGCAAAAUGGGUGUACCAGUUAGAGAUGCUAUUGUGCGCUUGAGAAGGGCAUGAGAUGGUUUAUGGGCAUUGAGACGACGUGGUCUCGCGAUUCGGGUCACUCUGGAUGAGUGUGGAUUGGGUUCGUAUGUUUUGAAUGGAGCUAUUAUUAUUUCUUAAGCAAGUCCAGAGUAAAUUGGAAGAAGUUGGAUCGAUUAGUAAUGGUUUGAAUUAGCAUGAUUGUGGCAAUGAUCAGUUCCUUCGGCAUAUGAAGUCAUACAUGUGGUUUGUAGUUGUGCUUACGGGUUUGACAACCACCAUAACUUGAUUGAUUUGGUAAGUAUUGGAUUCGAAUGGCCUUGUUGCGUAAAUAGAUUUCGAAAAAGUCAUGGCGGUUUAGAUCGCGAAUUGAGGUUUGUAUUUUCUGCGGUUUGGGAAUUCAGUUGCGUGUUGCAUUGGAUCUUCUGAAAUGAGCUAAGUGAAAGGUUUCUAGCCAAUGCAGUAUUUAUUCUACUGGUAGCUUAGGGGUUAUGAUGAAUUCGUGUAUUCUCGCAUAGCGGCAUGAUAGGUGCAGUGAGCGGCAUGGGAAUUUGAAAGUUGAGGAUCUAGGUUGUGGUUCGGUAUUGACAAGAAUGUCACGCUCGGAUGAGCAGGGGGAAAUUCAGAUGGUCAGAGUAAGCUGGCAUUUUCCUUAGUGUCACAUGGGAAUGAUGUCUUGUGUAAGAGGAUUUGUGUAUUGAUUUGCGGGUUCAUGAAUUUCUUUACAGAUUAGUACGGUUGGUGGUAUGGAGGUGCAGACUUUGCUACCUGGUGCGAAAGGUCGUGGGAGUAUACCCCACGGGAGAUUUGUAUAAGUGUGACAUGUUAGUCACUCGAUUGUCAAAGAUUGAAACCAAGUACGGGGAUUUUUGGUAAUAUCAUUAAUGUGAGAGUAUAUGCUUGGAAGACACUCUAUUCCUUUGGUUGUGAACUGUGGGAGUUAUUCCAGAUCGAGAUGGCUUGAUUAUGCGCACAUGUGUUGUGGUCUCGUGUAGCUUGUGGUAUUAAAUAAGUAGGAUGGCUCUCGAGAUGUAGGUCAUUUAUUGCACCAUAUCUGUGCUUGGGUUUUGUAGCGUAUGACGCUAUCCGUCUCCCCAGGUGGUAUUUUCGCACUUGGCGUGCUUGUGGUCGAUAUUCGUUCGUAGGUAUAAGCAUUAUGGCUCGAUGGGAAUUUUCUUAUUUAUUGUUAUAUGUUGAUCGGGUGGCACGCUGCUACGGGUACAUUGUUUGGAUCUGGUUGCACGCCGCAACAGUAUCAUGUGUUGAUCGAGUUGCACGCCGUAACAGUGAGAUGUUGAGUACGGUUCCCUAUAUCUAUUCUUGUGUAUUUUGUUUCUCAUUCUCUGAGAAGGGUUUAUAGCAUCUAUUCGACCGUCUUAUUCAUUACGCGGGCUGGAUAGUUCCUUUCUAGAGUUCGUUUUUUUCCUUAUGUAUCGCAUUCGAGUUUGUAGCUUGCUGGCGCAUUAUUGCGUCAUAUGAGAUUUUGGCAGUGUUUGAGAUGGCUCAUUGCUUGAGCAGUUCGUACUGGGUGAGAUGAGAUUAUUGGACUUGGAAUUAGUGCAAUCAGAUUUAUAUAAGGUACAUUAAAGAGAAAAUAUUAUUAUUCAGUUUAGAAUGAGGUAAUGGUCCUUGUCAAGAGGAGAGACUCCAUGAUUUAUUGAUUUGGUAGGUGGUUAUGAGUUUCUACACGUCUCUUUCAUCGUGGCAGUAUUGCGAGAAUUGGAACAGGGCUCACAUGUGUUAUGAGGCGUAUUGCGGGCAUCAGAUUCGUGAGAUUUCAACUAGUGUGGUCGGAGGGUGUAUUAUGGGCAUGUGAAUUAUGUGGUGCAUGGUGUGAAUUCAGCAAAGGUAUGCAAUUGUGUUUUGGUACAGUGUGUAGUGAUUGAUACGAUGUUCGUAUGUUAGAAUUAGGUCUUGUAGAGAAAUUCGGAGGUUCUAAGGCUUAUAGACUAAAUAAAAGGGAGGAUCUUCAGUCUGACACAAGCUAAUGUGUUCAACUAGAUUGUGAUAGCAUGGGUAGGUGCACGAGGUGUUAAAUAGUGAUUUUGGACAACUCUGGAGCAGUCCUUAGCACGUUCGAGGAUGAACGUAUGUUUAAGUCGGGGAGAAUGUAACGACCCGACAGGUCGUUUUGAGCUCUAGUAAGUCGUUCAACGGUUUGAUACCUUGAGUAGCUUCACUUCAGGUAUUAUGACUUGUACGUGUGGUCGGAAUCGAAUUUCUGGAAGUUCGGAGUUGAUUUGGAAAGAAAAUUUUAAUGUCAGAAGCUUUAAGUUGGAAGAAUUUACUAAGGUUUGAAUUUUGAGUAAACGAUCUCGAAAUCGGGAUUUGAAGGUUCCAGUAGGUUCGUAUGAUGAAUUUGGUCUUAGGAGCGUGUCCGGAUGUUGAUUUGGAGGUUCGUAGGUCAUAUCGGCGUAAAAUGGCAAAAGUUGGAAAGUUGACCGAGAGUGGACUUUUUGAUAUCAGGGUCGGAUUUCGAUUCUGGAAGUUGGAGUAGGUCUGAAAUAUCAAUUGUAACUUGUGUGCAAAAUUUGAGGUCAAUCGAACUUGAUUUGAUAGGUUUCGGCGUCGGAUGUAGAAGUUUGAAGUUUUAAAGUUUAUUAGGCUUGAAUAGAUACGCAAUUCGUGUUUUCAGUGUUGUUUGAUGUGAUUUGAAGGCUCGAUUAAGUUCGUAUUGUGUUUUAAGACUUGUUUGUAGGUUUGGUUGAGGUCUCGGGGGCUUCGGGGUGGUUUCGGAUGGUUAACAGAUCAAGUUGAAGCUUAAAGAAUGACUGAAGUGCACCAGCUCUAGUGUAACCAUACCUGCACAAGUUUGACCGCAGGUGCGAGCCCGCAGAAGUGUGAGGAGAAGCGCAGAAGCGGAAUUGAAGAGGGUGGUCAGUGGUCGCAGAUGUGACGUGAAGGCCGAAGAAGUGGAGCCACUUAUGCAGAAAGAUGAUCGCAUAAGCGCUUUCGCAGAUGCGGAUGGGUGUGCGCAGGUGCGAUAUUCGGAGAGGAAGUCUGGGGGCACAGAUACGGAUGCGCAUCUGCGCAUGAGAGAUCGCAUAUGCGGAAGUGGGCUGGAGGUCCUGGAUCGCAGAAGCAAUGGGAAAUCCGCAUAAGCGGGACCGCAAAUGCGGUCAAGUGUUCCGCAGAAGCGAAAGCACUGGGCAGAUUAUAUUAAAUCGAGGGUUUGCCAUUCAUAUUUUGAGAUAUAGUGCUCGGAUUGAGGCAAAAUUUCGAGGGUUUUUCAGAGGAAACAUUUGGGUAGGGAUUCUUGACUUGUUUUUGAUUAAUCUCCACUAAGAUAUCAUUUAUUCUUCAUUUAAUUAAGGCUUUGGGUUGAGAAAUUUGUGAAAAAGGUGGAAAAAUCCUUAGGCCAAUUUUUGAGGUUUUGAUCGAGAAUUUUGCAUCGGAUUUGAGUAAUUUUGGUAUGGGUGAACUCGAUAUCGAAUGGGUGUUCGUAUUUGGUGAUUUUUACCCGAUUCGGAGACGUGGGCCCGAGUCGACUUUUUGGGGCGAUUUUUUAAUUCUUUUCUAAAGUCAUAGUUUUAUUAUUUAAAUUAGUUUCUUAUAGUUGUAUUUAUAGUAUGUAAUUGCUUUUGGCUAGAUUUGGGUCGUUCGGAGUCGGAAAGUCGAGGGAGAGACAUUCUUAUUGACUGAUUGAGCUUGGUUUGAGGUAAGUGACUUGUCUAACCUUGUGUGGGGGAAACUUCCCUUAGGUUUUGGAACUGUUAUGAUAUUUGCAAUACGUGAUGGCCGUGUACGCGAUGUGAUGAGUGCGUACUCGGGUUAGAUGUUGAAAAAUCCAGUUCUUGCCGAGUAGUUUUCUUUUAAAUUCCUUAACUAAGUUACUCUAGCAUAUGUAGUCAUCAUGUUUAGCCAAUAUCGCAUGUCUACGUGUCUUAACUCUCACUUGCAAUUUGUGCAACAUGCUUAGUUGAAUUACCUGCUUCCUUAAUCUUGUAUUCUGUAUUUAACUGUAGGAUUCCUUGCUGUAAAUUUGUUGUUCCAUAGGUUAUGAGUUGUGUAUUUACUUUGGGACUAUGAGGCGGUACCUCGGGAGCUUCCCUGUUGUAUAUUUACUUUGGGGACAACGAGGUGGUACCUCGGGAGCGCCCCUGUUGCAUAUUUACUUUUGGGACUACGAGGCGGUACCUCGGGAGCGCCCCUGUUGUAUAUUUACUUUUGGGACUACGAGGCGAUACCUCGGGAGCUCCCCUGUUGCAUAUUUACUUUUGGGAAUACGAUGUGGUACCUCGGGAGCUCUUAUAUUGUGUAUUUACGUUUGGGACUACGAGGCGUUACCUCGGGAGCUCCCCUGUUGUCUACCUCUAUUUGAUGUGUUGUUACCUUGCUAUAAUUUCUCAUUGUUCAGUUCUCAGUCAUUUUAUUAUUUUAUUAUAACUUCUGCCUUAUUUCCUUUUUACUCUAGUAGGGCCCUGACAUGACCUCAUAACUAUUCUACCGAGGUUAGGCUUGGCACUUACUGGGUACCGUUGUGGUGUACUCAUACUACACUCCUGCACAUCUUUUGUGAAGAUCCAGGUUCUUCCUACCAAGCCAGAUACCAGUGCGAUAGCCGUGCGUGGAGACUUCAAGGUAAUUCUGCCAGCGUCCGCUGACCUCGGAGUCCCCCUCUAUUUUUAUUAUGUUGUUUUCUUUUCUUAUUUUCCUUGAACUUUGAUAUAUAGAGACACUCAACAUUUCCCUUUAGAGCUUGUGACUUAUUUCUACCUUGUUUUGGGAGUUGUAAUUAUUUGAAUCGUAAUUAUUAUAUAUAUUCCAUGAUGGCCAUAUCUUUUUGAUGAAUGUGGUAUUGAGGUUCGGUUUAUUUGGAAAAGAGGUCAAUCUUAGGGGAGACCAUUCGAAUGGUUGAAUUUGAGGUUUAAGUUCAGUUUUAUAUUCUGUUAUUCCGCAAGAUUGUUAGGCUUACCUAGUCUUAGAGACUAGGUACCGUCACGACAUCCUACGGAGGGAAAUUGGGUCGUGACACCUUGGUUCAAUAUUGGCAUGAUUGAUGGA